rnacentral:misc_RNA from 1 species
AAGUCGUAACAAGGUUUCCGUAGGUGAACCUGCGGAAGGAUCAUUAACACUGAAUCUAAAACAAAUCCCCUCAAAAGGAUUUAUUCUACCCACAUUUUGGACGAAUUUAAACAAAAAAAGAAAAAAAAGAUCGGGGGAUUUCCCCUGUUUUUCUUUUUCCUUUUUGCUUUCUUCUUAUUUUUUUUUAACCCCAACCAUUUUAAUGCUAUACAUUAGACUGACAUGACAAAGAGUUUUCAUUGAACUUUUUGUUUUACAAAAAAUUCUAAAAACAACUCUUAACAACGGAUAUCUUGGCUCUC